AUGAAGUAAAUCCAAAGGAGGGUUUUUGCCUUUUCCACCAUGUGAGAACACAGUAAGGAGACACUAUCUACAAACCAGGAUGUGCCUUCACCGGAUACCAUGUCUGCAGGCCUAUUGAUCUUGGACUUUCCAGACUCCAGAACUGUGAGAAAUUUCUGUUGCUCAUAAGCUACACAGUCUAUGGUAUUUUAUUAUAGUAGCCUGAAUGGACUGAGACACUGAAGAUGUGGAGCAAUGGGCAAACUUUACACCAUGCCUUUGUGAGAAUGCAUUGGUAAUAGCACUUCAGAAAAUAUUUACACUCUGUCUAGGGAGUCCUUUCACCACUGUACUUUCUCAAUAAACUUGCUUUUACUUUGCACUGAAUUCUUUCUUGUGUGAAUUCCAAGAACCCACUUUUAUACACCUUAUCAGUGUAAGAUAUAAUGUCCUUCCAUCCCCCAAAAAUGUCUACCUCCUAAUCCCCUAAAUCUGUGAAACUGUUACCCUACAUGAAAACAGGCAACCUACAGAUAUAAAUUAAGGGUCUUGAGAUGGAGAGAUUAUUCUGGAUUACCUAGAUGUGCCUAAUCACAAGAGUCAUUAUAAGAGAGGCAGGAGGCUCAGAGUUAUCGAUGUGAUGAUGAAAUUGAGAUGUGUGUGAGUGUGUGUAAGAGAGAUUGGAAAGUGCUACUCUGUUGGCCUUGGAGGUGGAAGAAGGGAGCUAUAAGCUAAGAAAUAGAGAUAGCCUCUAGAAGCUGAAAAAGGCAAGGAAGUGGAUUAUCUCCUACAGCAAGGGUCCCCAUUCCCCAGGUGGCAGACUGGUACCAGUCCAUGGCCUGUUAGGAACCUGGCUGCACAGCAGGAGGUGAGUGGCAGAGACCCAGCAUUACUGCCUGAGCUCUGGUUCCUGUCAGAUCAGCAGCAACAUUAGAUUCUCAUAGGAGCCCGAACCCUACUGUGAACUGAACAUGCGAGGAAUGUAGGGUAAGUGCUCCUUAUAAGAACCUCACUAUCUCAUACCAG
rnacentral:lncRNA from 1 species